AACGAACGCUGGCGGCAGGCUUAACACAUGCAAGUCGAACGCCCCGCAAGGGGAGUGGCAGACGGGUGAGUAACGCGUGGGAAUCUACCUAGUUCUACGGAACAACAGUUGGAAACGACUGCUAAUACCGUAUACGCCCUACGGGGGAAAGAUUUAUCGGAAUUAGAUGAGCCCGCGUAAGAUUAGCUAGUUGGUGAGGUAAUGGCUCACCAAGGCGACGAUCUUUAGCUGGUCUGAGAGGAUGAUCAGCCACACUGGGACUGAGACACGGCCCAGACUCCUACGGGAGGCAGCAGUGGGGAAUAUUGGACAAUGGGCGCAAGCCUGAUCCAGCCAUGCCGCGUGAGUGAUGAAGGCCUUAGGGUUGUAAAGCUCUUUCAGUAGGGAAGAUAAUGACGGUACCUACAGAAGAAGCCCCGGCUAACUUCGUGCCAGCCGCCGCGGUAAAAC
rnacentral:rRNA from 1 species